CCACUUUCUGUUCCAGGAAAGUAGCACUGACUCUCCAGCACCAGCCAAACAACUCUCCAAGGACAGUCUGCCAUGCAUCAGCACUAAGUAACAUACAAAAGGUGAAGUUUCUCUCAUGUAUGUGAUGGAAAUAUGUAACUGGAUAAUCUCUGAAACUCAAUUUCAAUAAUCUUCACCAGUCAUUGGAGCUCUCAAAACCCAACUGGAAGAAACAGGAGUUCAUUUCAUUGAGAGAUGGCAGGUAAUAGAGGAAAAAGCC